GAUGGUAAGUAAUGCACCCACCUGUAGGAUCCCCAGUACAGGAAGAACACUGACUUAUUGGAACAAGUCCAGAGGAGGGUCACCAAAACCCUAUUAGGGUCACAGAGUACAUCUUCUGUGAGGAAAAGCUAGGAGAAUUGGAAUUGUUCAUCCUGGAGAAAAGAAAUCUUUGGGAUUACCUAUUUUUGGCUUUCCAGUACUUUCAGGGAGGCUACAAGAAAAAUGGAGAGAGACUAAUUACAAGGACUUGUAACUAGAGGACAAGAGAAAUGGCUUCAACCUGAAAGACUGUAGGUAUAGUGGAAGAUGUCCCUGCCCACGUCAUCAGAGGUGUUGGAACUAGAUGAUCUUUAAGAUUCCUUCUGACCUAGGCCAUUCUAACAUCUUAUAAUUCUAUAACUAUAUUUCUAUAUUUCUACAAUUCUAUAAUUCUAUAAUAAACAGAAAUUUUAAAAUGAAAAAGUGUAAGCGUGUGUAAAGUUUUACAUGGUUUACAUGGUUAACUCUAUUUAUGAGGUUCUAACAUUUUUGAGGAUCUAGUACACACUGAUGUGUCAAAUUAGUGUUUUUCUAAUAAAAGUACUGUUGGCUGAGCUUCUCAACAAGGGAGACCAGAAGCUGGAUUGCCAAAGAGAUCAGGAAGCAGUGCCAGUCUUUCACCUGCCUGUACACUGGACUAUUCUCUGCUCCAUGGUCUUUUUGACUGAAAAAAAAAAAAAAAAGCUAGAAAUUUAUUUCAAGAUGAGUGCCUAAUUUUACGACAUUUUCCUGUGUUGCCCCAUGAAAGUCUGAGGUGGAAAGCUCUUCAUUUAUGAACCAGACAGGGUUAUAAAACAAGUAUUGCCAGUUUCGCCUCACAUUAGCAUUCAUUUCAUGAUUUUUUUUUAUUUUUUUCUCUGAUAGAAGAACUGCCUACACCCCUGCUCACCAUGGCAACUGAAGAAUCUAGCAGCAGACUCAGGCAACACUCUAUGAAAUUGCAAGAGAAAGAGAGCUGUCUACCUAUAUUUCAGAUGGAAUCACCCAGCAUGGGAGGAGUACAACAAAUAGUGUGUCUGUUUGCAUGUUACACUGGAGUAUGCUGAGGGUUGCAGUAGAAUGAAGGACAAGAUCAACAAAAUGAAGAAAGCAGAUCUAAUGUCACAGGAAGUGGAGCCAGAGUAGGACAAUCAAAGGCAAAUAUGACUAAAACAAAGAAAUGGAAAGACAAAGCUAUUUUGUUAGACAUUGUGAAAUAUGAACACGGACUGGGCCAGGAGUAAGUGACUUUCUUCUGUGAGAUUGUGCUGUCACAGAGCAUUACACCUAGUCAAGAAUUUUGUGUGGUCAUCAUCAAGUCCAUCACCUUCUCCAGCUUUUCUUGAGCUGAAGACAAAGCCGUUUCAGUGUGAGUGGAGGCUGCCAUCGUUUGCAUUAUCAUCAUUUGGAUACCUGUGAAACAAAAAGGUGCUAAUUCGUCCUCUUUUACUACAGGAGAUUUAUUAUAGGAUUUUCACAUUCUUUGAUGGACAGGAUUGUAUGCAGAGACAGAUCUUCAAUCAGAUCCAGCUGUCAGCUGUUCACCUUGUAGAAAUUUUUGGGCAGCAUAUAUUGUGCUGAAAACAGUGGUUUUCCUCACCUGUGUUGGGAAGUACUGUGAUCCAGGUAUUUAGGUAUGUCACUCCUAAUCUCCUUCUGAACUGACAAACUAAACUAAGUUAAUCAAAACCUCAAUUAUUCUCUGGUUUUCUUGGAGCAAAAGUUGGGGAUUUUUAAAGUUUGAGGCUUUCUCAAUAGUGAUUGAUUUUCUCUCUUAAAAAGACACAGUAAGUAAAAUAAAUGAUCAAUAAAACUGUUUUUGCUGGAGUUGACCCAGUUGAUAUCACUGUUAGAAGCUCAAACUUGGACAGCCAUUUUUCAUAAUUUCACCAGAGAGUUGAUGCAAUAGGUACUGAAUUUUAACAGCCUUAGGCAAAACUUCUGGUCUUAUUUAAAUCUCUGCAUAAGGUCUGGGUCUAGUUUGGUUUUUUUAACUCAUCUGCAAAUAAUUUCAUAACUCCUUUCCACUGUGAAAGAUGGAAGUGAAAAACUUGUAUGUCUGGAAUUUAAAAAGAAUUUUUUUAAAAAUUGAACAAUUUUCAGUGAGUAU